CAGGCCUAACACAUGCAAGUCGAACGGAGCCCAUUCAGUAGCAAUACUGAGGAAGGUUCAGUGGCGAACGGGUGAGUAACACGUGAGGAACCUAUCCUGGUCUCUGGGAUAACAGUUGGAAACAACUGCUAAUACCGGAUGCCGUCGGAGCGCUGCAUGGCGCACUGACGAAAGGGUUACUGGAUCAGGAGGGUCUCGCGGCCUAUCAGCUAGUUGGUGGGGUCAAGGCCUACCAAGGCAUCGACGGGUAGCUGGUCUGAGAUGAUGAUCAGCCACACUGGGACUGAGACACGGCCCAGACUCCUACGGGAGGCAGCAGUGGGGAAUCUUGCGCAAUGGGCGAAAGCCUGACGCAGCAACGCCGCGUGCGGGAAGAAGGCCUUCGGGUUGUAAACCGCUUUCAGAAGGAACGAAACUGACGGUACUUUCAGAAGAAGGUGCGGCCAACUACGUGCCAGCAGCCGCGGUAAU
rnacentral:rRNA from 1 species